rnacentral:rRNA from 1 species
CUGUCUGAAUAUGGGGGGCCCAUCCUCCAAGGCUAAAUACUCCUGACUGACCGAUAGUGAACCAGUACCGUGAGGGAAAGGCGAAAAGAACCCCGGCGAGGGGAGUGAAAAAGAACCUGAAACCGUGUACGUACAAGCAGUGGGAGCACGCUUAGGCGUGUGACUGCGUACCUUUUGUAUAAUGGGUCAGCGACUUAUAUUCUGUAGCAAGGUUAACCGAAUAGGGGAGCCGAAGGGAAACCGAGUCUUAACUGGGCGUUAAGUUGCAGGGUAUAGACCCGAAACCCGGUGAUCUAGCCAUGGGCAGGUUGAAGGUUGGGUAACACUAACUGGAGGACCGAACCGACUAAUGUUGAAAAAUUAGCGGAUGACUUGUGGCUGGGGGUGAAAGGCCAAUCAAACCGGGAGAUAGCUGGUUCUCCCCGAAAGCUAUUUAGGUAGCGCCUCGUGAAUUCAUCUCCGGGGGUAGAGCACUGUUUCGGCAAGGGGGUCAUCCCGACUUACCAACCCGAUGCAAACUGCGAAUACCGGAGAAUGUUAUCACGGGAGACACACGGCGGGUGCUAACGUCCGUCGUGAAGAGGGAAACAACCCAGACCGCCAGCUAAGGUCCCAAAGUCAUGGUUAAGUGGGAAACGAUGUGGGAAGGCCCAGACAGCCAGGAUGUUGGCUUAGAAGCAGCCAUCAUUUAAAGAAAGCGUAAUAGCUCACUGGUCGAGUCGGCCUGCGCGGAAGAUGUAACGGGGCUAAACCAUGCACCGAAGCUGCGGCAGCGACGCUUAUGCGUUGUUGGGUAGGGGAGCGUUCUGUAAGCCUGCGAAGGUGUGCUGUGAGGCAUGCUGGAGGUAUCAGAAGUGCGAAUGCUGACAUAAGUAACGAUAAAGCGGGUGAAAAGCCCGCUCGCCGGAAGACCAAGGGUUCCUGUCCAACGUUAAUCGGGGCAGGGUGAGUCGACCCCUAAGGCGAGGCCGAAAGGCGUAGUCGAUGGGAAACAGGUUAAUAUUCCUGUACUUGGUGUUACUGCGAAGGGGGGACGGAGAAGGCUAUGUUGGCCGGGCGACGGUUGUCCCGGUUUAAGCGUGUAGGCUGGUUUUCCAGGCAAAUCCGGAAAAUCAAGGCUGAGGCGUGAUGACGAGGCACUACGGUGCUGAAGCAACAAAUGCCCUGCUUCCAGGAAAAGCCUCUAAGCAUCAGGUAACAUCAAAUCGUACCCCAAACCGACACAGGUGGUCAGGUAGAGAAUACCAAGGCGCUUGAGAGAACUCGGGUGAAGGAACUAGGCAAAAUGGUGCCGUAACUUCGGGAGAAGGCACGCUGAUAUGUAGGUGAAGUCCCUUGCGGAUGGAGCUGAAAUCAGUCGAAGAUACCAGCUGGCUGCAACUGUUUAUUAAAAACACAGCACUGUGCAAACACGAAAGUGGACGUAUACGGUGUGACGCCUGCCCGGUGCCGGAAGGUUAAUUGAUGGGGUCAGCGCAAGCGAAGCUCUUGAUCGAAGCCCCGGUAAACGGCGGCCGUAACUAUAACGGUCCUAAGGUAGCGAAAUUCCUUGUCGGGUAAGUUCCGACCUGCACGAAUGGCGUAAUGAUGGCCAGGCUGUCUCCACCCGAGACUCAGUGAAAUUGAACUCGCUGUGAAGAUGCAGUGUACCCGCGGCAAGACGGAAAGACCCCGUGAACCUUUACUAUAGCUUGACACUGAACAUUGAGCCUUGAUGUGUAGGAUAGGUGGGAGGCUUUGAAGUGUGGACGCCAGUCUGCAUGGAGCCGGCCUUGAAAUACCACCCUUUAAUGUUUGAUGUUCUAACGUGGACCCGUGAUCCGGGUUGCGGACAGUGUCUGGUGGGUAGUUUGACUGGGGCGGUCUCCUCCUAAAGAGUAACGGAGGAGCACGAAGGUUGGCUAAUCCUGGUCGGACAUCAGGAGGUUAGUGCAAUGGCAUAAGCCAGCUUGACUGCGAGCGUGACGGCGCGAGCAGGUGCGAAAGCAGGUCAUAGUGAUCCGGUGGUUCUGAAUGGAAGGGCCAUCGCUCAACGGAUAAAAGGUACUCCGGGGAUAACAGGCUGAUACCGCCCAAGAGUUCAUAUCGACGGCGGUGUUUGGCACCUCGAUGUCGGCUCAUCACAUCCUGGGGCUGAAGUAGGUCCCAAGGGUAUGGCUGUUCGCCAUUUAAAGUGGUACGCGAGCUGGGUUUAGAACGUCGUGAGACAGUUCGGUCCCUAUCUGCCGUGGGCGCUGGAGAACUGAGGGGGGCUGCUCCUAGUACGAGAGGACCGGAGUGGACGCAUCACUGGUGUUCGGGUUGUCAUGCCAAUGGCACUGCCCGGUAGCUAAAUGCGGAAGAGAUAAGUGCUGAAAGCAUCUAAGCACGAAACUUGCCCCGAGAUGAGUUCUCCCUGACCCUUUAAGGGUCCUGAAGGAACGUUGAAGACGACGACGUUGAUAGGCCGGGUGUGUAAGCGCAGCGAUGCGUUGAGCUAACCGGUACUAAUGAACCGUGAGG